rnacentral:misc_RNA from 1 species
GAUGAAGAACGCAGCGAAAUGCGAUAAGUAAUGUGAAUUGCAGAAUUCAGUGAAUCAUCGAAUCUUUGAACGCACAUUGCGCCCCUUGGUAUUCCGAGGGGCAUGCCUGUUCGAGCGUCAUUAUAACCCCUCAAGCUCAGCUUGGUGUUGGGGCCUGCUGCACUGGCAGCCCUUAAAAUCAGUGGCGGCGCCAUCUGGCUCUAAGCGUAGUAAUUCUUCUCGCUAUGGAGUCCUGGUGGAUGCUUGCCAUCAACCCCCAAUUUUUCUAUGGUUGACCUCGGAUCGGGUAGGGAUACCCGCUGAACUUAAGCAUAUCAAUAAGCGGAGGA